AAUCUAGAGCCCCUUGCCCAUGUUUGAUGAAAAGCCAAGGCUAAAUUGUGGAACUCAUCAUCCAUAUCUGGGAGCGCAGGCUGGCCAGAUUUAGUAAAAUGGAUGUCCUUGGGAUUGUUAGCCAUUAUUAAUUGAGCAGCGGCUUAUUGCAGCAUGUCUUGUGGCAACAAAACUGAGAAUACUCUUGGUAUAGAAAUUGUCAAGAGGUCAGAGUAAGCCAUUGCUUGGGGACACAUUUGAACAUGAGGUGGUACUUCAGAAGGCAGGUGAGAACGAAACUAGGCCAUCUUGUAGACCAAAGAUGGAAUUAAGUAAAAGCUCAGUCAACAGUGUAAAAGGGCUUGUUUCAUGGUUAUUGAAAAUUUAAAAUAGAGGUUUUAACGCAUGGUGAGAAGAGAAUUUUGUUGGCAAUAUUAGCAUCCUUGUCUAAGAUUUAAGUACCAGUAUGACUUGGUUUUGAAAGUCUAAUGGGGGUUCCCUUGCUUAAACAUGGGAUAAAUGCCAAGCGCAAUUUACUUUGUGAGAAGAUAGCUAUCCGUGACAAUCUGGUCAAAUCAGGGAUAAUGGCUUAAUUCUAUAAUGUAAGUUUCCAGUAUUAGCUAUGCCUAGGUGAUUUAAACCCAUUUAAUUUUUGUUUUAUCCAAAGAUGAUCCAUUUAAAAUGUGUGGUGCAAUUUUUAUGGCGUCAUAUUUUAUGUUAAAUAUUUUAGAAAAGUUUUAAAAAUCUUAAACUCAAUGAUGCAUCAUUAAAAUUGAAAAU
rnacentral:lncRNA from 1 species